rnacentral:rRNA from 1 species
GACGAACGCUGGCGGCGUGCUUAACACAUGCAAGUCGAACGGGAGUAUUGAAGAAGCUUGCUUUAGAGAUACUUUAGUGGCGGACGGGUGAGUAACGCGUGAGGAGCUGUCCAAUGCAGGGGGACAACAGUUGGAAACGACUGCUAAUACCCCAUAAGCCGAGAGGUAAAAGGAUUUAUCCGGCAAUGGAGGUACUCGCGUCCUAUCAGCUAGUAGGUGAGGUAACGGCUCACCUAGGCGAAGACGGGUAGCCGGCCUGAGAGGGCGAACGGCCACACUGGAACUGAGAUACGGUCCAGACUCCUACGGGGGGCAGCAGUAGGGAAUCUUCGGCAAUGGACGAAAGUCUGACCGAGCAACGCCGCGUGAGUGAAGAAGGUUUUCGGAUCGUAAAACUCUGUUGUUAGAGAAGAACAAGGAUGAGAGUAAAAUGUUCAUCCCUUGACGGUAUCCAACCAGAAAGCCACGGCUAAC